AAAGGUGAGGGGAGGUGAGGGGAGAUUAGGGAGGUAAAACGAGCGUGUGGGAGGUUGAGGCUAAGUUGAGGGUGGGUGGAGGGCGGCAAGGCAAGGAGGGAAUAGCGACUCAGCGUGCAGGCAACAGUCAGGCCACGCUGCCUCACCUGGACACAACUACCGUCCCCCGCACCGCAUUACCUUUCCUAACAUGCACUGUGUCCCUGCUAAGCCCAGUAUAGCUCACCUGGUCCUAUCACCUGGGAGGACUAAUUAAGUGUGGUUUGCGAUACCUUGUUCACCUGAGAAUAUUCGUUACCUGUGGUGAUUUAAUUAACGGGAAUGGACUGAUUACUUCACCUGAAGAAACGAAGAGGACUAAGGGAAAGGGAAGGUAACUGCUGGUGUUAUUACAAGGCAGGUUCAAAAACUUAUGUGGGGAUUAAAAUAGUGAAGACUCUGGACCAUUAAUCUGACCCCCAUAGACUCUUCCUAAUGUAAAUAGAAUGGUUUAAUCACAUCCAAACUCAUGGUAAAAGAGCGUCCCAGUACUGAAGGGGUCAAGAGGGAAACAAGAAAAGACGAAAGCAAAAUCAAUUAAAGCAGGCAAUACGUAAAAUAAGAAGAGACAAGAGGAAUGGAAAGGAAGUAAAAGAAAAUGUAUCUUAUUAAUCCAGGAAGUAUUGGAAAUAUUACAACCUGAAAAGAC